AGCGAACGUUUGCGGCGGGCCUAACACAUGCAAGUCGAACGCACUAGCAAUAGUGAGUGGCGCACGGGUGCGUAACACGUGGGUAAUCAACCCUUCAGCCUGGGAUAACGACUCGAAAGGGUCGCUAAUACCGGAUACGGCGCGAGAGGCUUCGGCUUCUCACGAGAAAGCCACGCAAGGGGCACUGAAGGACGAGCCUGCGGCCCAUCAGCUAGUUGGUGAGGUAAGAGCUCACCAAGGCUAAGACGGGUAGCUGGUCUGAGAGGAUGAUCAGCCACACUGGAACUGAGACACGGUCCAGACUCCUACGGGAGGCAGCAGUGGGGAAUAUUGCGCAAUGGGCGAAAGCCUGACGCAGCCACGCCGCGUGAGCGAUGAAGGCCUUGGUCGUAAGACUCUGUGGGAGGAGACGAAGAAAGACCUGUGAAGAGCAGGCCUGACGGUAGUCUCCUUACGCAAGCACCGGCGUAACUACCGUGCCACG
rnacentral:rRNA from 1 species